rnacentral:rRNA from 1 species
UACAGAGGGGGCAAGGCGUUGUUCGGAAUUACUGGGCGUAAAGGGCGCGUAGGCGGCCUGUUAAGUCGAACGUGAAAUCCCUGGGCUCAACCCAGGAACGUGCGUCCGAUACUGGCAGGCUUGAAUUCGGGAGAGGGAUGCGGAAUUCCAGGUGUAGCGGUGAAAUGCGUAGAUAUACUGGAGGAACACCGGUGGCGAAGGCGGCUACCUGGACCGAUAUUGACGCUGAGACGCGAAAGCGUGGGGAGCAAACAGG